rnacentral:tRNA from 3 species
GGAGAGAUGGUCGAGCGGUUGAAGGCACCGGUCUUGAAAACCGGCGUAGGGCAACCUAUCGUGGGUUCGAAUCCCACUCUCUCCG